rnacentral:rRNA from 1 species
AGUGAACGCUGGCGGUAGGCCUAACACAUGCAAGUCGAACGGCAGCACAGUAAGAGCUUGCUCUUACGGGUGGCGAGUGGCGGACGGGUGAGGAAUACAUCGGAAUCUACUUUUUCGUGGGGGAUAACGUAGGGAAACUUACGCUAAUACCGCAUACGACCUACGGGUGAAAGCAGGGGAUCUUUGGACCUUGCGCGAUUGAAUGACCCGAUGUCGGAUUAGCUAGUUGGCGGGGUAAAGGCCCACCAAGGCGACGAUCCGUAGCUGGUCUGAGAGGAUGAUCAGCCACACUGGAACUGAGACACGGUCCAGACUCCUACGGGAGGCAGCAGUGGGGAAUAUUGGACAAUGGGCGCAAGCCUGAUCCAGCCAUACCGCGUGGGUGAAGAAGGCCUUCGGGUUGUAAAGCCCUUUUGUUGGGAAAGAAAAGCAGCAGGUUAAUACCCCGCUGUUCUGACGGUACCCAAAGAAUAAGCACCGGCUAACUUCGUG